rnacentral:rRNA from 1 species
AACGAACGCUGGCGGCAUGCCUAACACAUGCAAGUCGAACGAGACCUUCGGGUCUAGUGGCGCACGGGUUCGUAACGCGUGGGAACCUGCCCUUAGGUUCGGAAUACCUCCCCGAAAGGGGUGCUAAUACCGGAUAAUGUCUUCGGACCAAAGAUUUAUCGCCUUUGGUUGGGCCCGCGUUGGAUUAGCUAGUUGGUAGGGUAAAAGCCUACCAAGGCGACGAUCCAUAGCUGGUCUGAGAGGAUGAUCAGCCACACUGGGACUGAGACACGGCCCAGACUCCUACGGGAGGAAGCAGUGGGGAAUAUUGGACAAUGGGCGAAAGCCUGAUCCAGCAAUGACGCGUGAGUGAUGAAGGCAUUAGGGUUGUAAAGCUCUUUUAACCGGGAUGAUAAUGACAGUACCGGGAGAAUAAGCCCCGGCUAACUCCGUG